GGCAGCACAGAGAAGCUUGCUUCUUGGGUGGCGAGUGGCGAACGGGUGAGUAAUAUAUCGGAACGUACCGAGUAAUGGGGGAUAACUAAUCGAAAGAUUAGCUAAUACCGCAUAUUCUCUGAGGAGGAAAGCAGGGGACCUUCGGGCCUUGCGUUAUUCGAGCGGCCGAUAUCUGAUUAGCUAGUUGGUGGGGUAAAGGCCUACCAAGGCGACGAUCGGUAGCGGGUCUGAGAGGAUGAUCCGCCACACUGGGACUGAGACACGGCCCAGACUCCUACGGGAGGCAGCAGUGGGGAAUUUUGGACAAUGGGCGCAAGCCUGAUCCAGCCAUGCCGCGUGUCUGAAGAAGGCCUUCGGGUUGUAAAGGACUUUUGUCAGGGAAGAAAAGGAUAGGGUUAAUACCCCUGUCUGAUGACGGUACCUGAAGAAUAAGCACCGGCUAACUACGUGCCAGCAGCCGCGGUAAUACGUAGGGUGCGAGCGUUAAUCGGAAUUACUGGGCGUAAAGCGAGCGCAGACGGUUACUUAAGCAGGAUGUGAAAUCCCCGGGCUCAACCUGGGAACUGCGUUCUGAACUGGGUGACUAGAGUGUGUCAGAGGGAGGUAGAAUUCCACGUGUAGCAGUGAAAUGCGUAGAGAUGUGGAGGAAUACCGAUGGCGAAGGCAGCCUCCUGGGAUAACACUGACGUUCAUGCUCGAAAGCGUGGGUAGCAAACAG
rnacentral:rRNA from 1 species